UCGAUUUUUAGGAACUCACAACCGUCGAAGCCUCAUGCAAAGUUCUAAACUGGCAGUUUAGAAGUUUCUGCGUCUCCUUCUCCAUGUCAAGUUUUAUCUUAGGCUGAAAUACUCACAUACAAUCUUUUCCAUUUUAAGAUGUCUCAAAUUGCUCCCAUCCUUCAUGGGAAACACAGGCUCUAAACUGCGACUUUUAGGCUGCUAGUGAUAAAGGAAUCAGCAGGGAAGGCCUGGAGGAAAGGUGCCCAAUCACCUCACUCUUCCCAGCUCUCCUGUCCUGGAGGUGGCCUCAGGAAAGGGCUGCUCUGCCUGGGCAGAGGGCAGGAGCUGCGGAAUCCACGAUAGCCCAUCCGAAGUCAUCUUCCCAGGUGGCAGCACAAACAAAGCCAGACACCACAGUGCUUUCCAAGGAGAUGUCCUUCGGAGCCCUUACCCUAGUGCAGCAUCAAAGAGAGGGCUGGGUACAGUGUUCCACUUCCAUGGAGAAUCUCUGGUUCAAACGUAGACCACUAAUGCCCAAUUUCUACUAAAAGAUAGUGAAAUGUGAUAAAUCGCAUGCUAUUUCAGGCAAUAUCUUUUCAAAUGAGUGGACCAAACCAGCAAAACGGAACCACAUGCUUGGUGAGGGCCACCUUCAUGUCAAUCGUGUGAAUCCGAAGCUGGGCUGGACAGACAGAUGCAACCGGCCAGCCCAAGUUUUAGAAUGUUUCCGUCAUGACAAUAUGUUCUCUGGGCCCUUGUGCCGUCCAACCCCCUCCUGUACUCCCAGUCCCAGAGUAUUGUUUCUUCUCUUUGUGAGACAUGUGAAGGCCUCAGCAGAGAGGGAGAGGAAAAAUAGGUACAGACAGAAUCCGAGCUGAUGGACAGCCGGUCUCUCCAUGGGGACAGCCAGCGUUUGGCUUUCGUGGCUGUUUCUCUUAUUUUUAAACUAAAUGACUUUUGAAAGAGAACAUCCUCUGAGGACUCACUAAUUCUCCCAUCUUUGCAGAAAUUCCUUCUCAGAAGAGGCGAAUGAGCUCAACACUGAAGCCCAGACAAGGAGAAGCAGCGCUGGGUGUGGGGGGUGAAUGCUGACAGGUGCUUCAAGAUCAAACUCUUGAGGCAUGUUUCUGCUGCUCACCCCGUGGCCAAAGGGACUGUGUUUCAUCUUUGUUGGCUUCAUUUCACUUGUCAGUUACAAAGAGCAUAAUAGUUUUAUCCCCAGUGUCUUGCAAGCCAUUUAUUUUUCGAUUUCUGUAAUGAACUCUUUGUUCAUAUUGAAGCCAGCCUGUGCUAUUAACAAAUGAUAACAGUGACAACGAAAAACUCCCUUCCUAUGUGGAGAGCCCGAGAGACAGCUCCAUCUCCUGUCAUUCAGUGUCACACCUUACCUGGGUGAGCUCCACGCUGCUAAAAAGUCAUGGCGCAAAGGAUUUGCUAACUGACCGUCUCAGAGGAGCAAGUGCUAGAGUCUCAACCUACCUGUUCAAAACACCUACUCUCUAGUCCUUAGUUAGAAACAAAACUUGGCAACUCUUAGGGCAUAAUAACAUCUUAUUUUUGCUGAUAGCCAGAAGUUUUAUCCAUAAUAUCUAUCUUCUAGGACACUAUUAUCCAAUACGUUAUGCCAAGAGAAACAAGAGGUUAGGUCUAACUCACCUGGCUUUCACCUGUUCUUACAGCCAUAGUCUUGGCCUCUUGUGAACAACUCAGAAAAUGAGCCUUUCUUCAUAGCUGUUUGUUCAUACAGAAUGAAGGGAUACACAUACAUUUCUGAUUAAUAGACUUAUGGGACCUAAUUUUGAAAAAUAUAUGGCCACUUUCUUCUUUCUCUGACUUUUAUCUAGUGUUGCUACUGUAACAGAGAAUAAUAGACAAUGCUGAA